CGGGUGGUAAUGCCGGAUGCUCCAGUUGACCGCAUGGUCCUCUGGGAAAGAUUCAUCGGUAUGGGAUGGGGUCGCGUCCUAUCAGCUUGAUGGCGGGGUAACGGCCCACCAUGGCUUCGACGGGUAGCCGGCCUGAGAGGGCGACCGGCCACAUUGGGACUGAGAUACGGCCCAGACUCCUACGGGAGGCAGCAGUGGGGAAUAUUGCACAAUGGGCGCAAGCCUGAUGCAGCGACGCCGCGUGCGGGAUGACGGCCUUCGGGUUGUAAACCGCUUUUGACUGGGAGCAAGCCCUUCGGGGUGAGUGUACCUUUCGAAUAAGCACCGGCUAACUACGUGCCAGCAGCCGCGGUAAUACGUAGGGUGCAAGCGUUAUCCGGAAUUAUUGGGCGUAAAGGGCUCGUAGGCGGUUCGUCGCGUCCGGUGUGAAAGUCCAUCGCUUAACGGUGGAUCCGCGCCGGGUACGGGCGGGCUUGAGUGCGGUAGGGGAGACUGGAAUUCCCGGUGUAACGGUGGAAUGUGUAGAUAUC
rnacentral:rRNA from 1 species